GGGGGACAAAGUGACAGGUGGUGCAUGGUUGUCGUCAGCUCGUGUCGUGAGAUGUUGGGUUAAGUCCCGCAACGAGCGCAACCCUUAAGCUUAGUUGCCAGCAUUAAGAGUGGCACUCUAAGUUGACUGCCGGUGACAAACCGGAGGAAGGUGGGGAUGACGUCAAAUCAUCAUGCCCCUUAUGAUUUGGGCUACACACGUGCUACAAUGGACAAUACAAAGGGCAGCUAAACCGCGAGGUCAUGCAAAUCCCAUAAAGUUGUUCUCAGUUCGGAUUGUAGUCUGCAACUCGACUACAUGAAGCUGGAAUCGCUAGUAAUCGUAGAUCAGCAUGCUACGGUGAAUACGUUCCCGGGUCUUGUACACACCGCCCGUCACACCACGAGAGUCUGUAACACCCGAAGCCGGUGGAGUAACCAUUUAUGGAGCUAGCCGUCGAAGGUGGGACAAAUGAUUGGGGUGAGGUCGUAACAAGGUAGCCGUAUCGGAAGGUGCGGCUGGAUCACCUC
rnacentral:rRNA from 1 species